rnacentral:rRNA from 1 species
GACAGAGGGGGCAAGCGUUGCUCGGAUUUACUGGGCGUAAAGGGCGCGUAGGCGGCGCAACAAGUCACUUGUGAAAUCUCCGGGCUUAACUCGGAAAGGUCAAGUGAUACUGUUGUGCUAGAGUGCGGAAGGGGCAACUGGAAUUCUCGGUGUAGCGGUGAAAUGCGUAGAUAUCAGGAGGAACACCUGCGGUGUAGACAGCUUUCUGGACCACUUCUGACGCUGAGACACGAAAGCGUGGGUAGCAAACAGG